rnacentral:rRNA from 1 species
AUUGAACGCUGGCGGCAUGCCUUACACAUGCAAGUCGAACGGUAACAGGUCUUCGGAUGCUGACGAGUGGCGAACGGGUGAGUAAUACAUCGGAACGUGCCUAGUAGUGGGGGAUAACUACUCGAAAGAGUGGCUAAUACCGCAUGAGAUCUACGGAUGAAAGCAGGGGAUCGCAAGACCUUGUGCUACUAGAGCGGCCGAUGGCAGAUUAGGUAGUUGGUGGGAUAAAAGCUUACAAGCCGACGAUCUGUAGCUGGUCUGAGAGGACGAUCAGCCACACUGGGACUGAGAAACGGCCCAGACUCCUACGGGAGGCGGCAGUGGGGAAUUUUGGACAAUGGGCGCAAGCCUGAUCCAGCAAUGCCGCGUGCAGGAUGAAGGCCUUCGGGUUGUAAACCGCUUUUGUACGGAACGAAAAGCCCCGGGUUAAUACCCUGGGGUCAUGACGGUACCGUAAGAAUAAGCACCGGCUAACUACGUGCCAGCCGCCGCCGUAA